rnacentral:tRNA from 1 species
GCCCGGGUGGUGAAACCGGUAGACACGGGGGACUUAAAAUCCCCUUCCUUUGGGAGUGCGGGUUCGAGUCCCGCCCCGGGCA